CAACCAACUGGUACAUUUGUUUGAGUUUUGGACUGCUGUACCUCCCCAACAAAGCACUUGGUUUCUUGCAGUCGCGUGUGAGGAGCGUAGUAUUGCUGAGUGUAUCCAUGGCUGCUCGAUGGCCAUCGUGUGCUUCAUUAACCUCGGAGCUGGCAGAGGACGAACUGAGUACUUCAAGGAAAAGACAGAAAAGUAGCACAGCAACUUCUAACGUCCACAAACCCUUGCACUGUCUGUCAAUGCCACAUAUUCAGGUUCCUUUCCCCCUCUUCUAUCUUUUCCUCAAAAUGAUAUUGUACACCUUCCCAAGGCUAGUUGGCAUGGUGACGCUAAUGGGAUGGCCGUUGCUAGGAGAUGCAGAGAGCGGCCAAAAAGAGCAUCGUCACGGUGAGAAGAAGGCGAUCCCUGGAUGGGCUGCUUCCACUGACGCUCUUCUCCAGCUUGGGAAUAACAGGAUUAAAUUCAGCUUGAAAAAUAAAAGAGAAUGAGAAACUAUUAGAACGCAACAACAACAGGACAGAGACAGAGAGAUCUUAAUUAUAACAUGUCAGAUGAGAAUUUUUCUGUACUUUUAAUCCAAGGUUUUAUUAUUUGGUCAUUCAGACGCCGUCUUUAACAUCGGCAGCGCUCCUUAUAUUAGCCGCAAAAUUUCUAUGUCUGAUCUUAGACCAUGUUAAGGACAGUUUUUUUUCCAACUUUCCAAUUUAUCACCACUAUAACCACAUGCCACUUUAUUAGGUGCAAAUGUUCAGCAAUUUGUUCAUGCAAAUAUCUAAUCUAAUAAUAAUAUCUAAUAUCUAAUCAACCAAUCACAUGACAACUCAAAUGCAUUUAGGAACAUUAGAUAUGGUCAAGUAGUAUUAGGUAGUUUCUUUGUACAUUUUGGGCUCCUUAACAUCAAAUGAGCAUCAUUUAAACACCACAGUGAUCCUAAAUAUUGCUGCUGGCCUGACAAUCCCUUUAUGACCACACUGUCCAUAUCUUCUGAUGGCUGCUUCCAACAGGAUAAUAUGCCACGUCAGAGAGAUCAAAUCAUCUCAAACUGGUUUAAUGAACAUGAAAAUGAGUUUAUUGUACUCAAAGGACUCCAAAAUCACAACCUGAAAUCCAUCUCAAUACAGUAGAGCACCUUUGAGAUGUUGUGGAACAGGAGAUUCACAUCAUGAAUAAAUGUCAGUGCCUUGUUAAAUAGAUGCUCUCUAGGCAAAAGAGGUUCAACCCAGUAAUAUCAAGUGGCUGGAGUACACAAUAAUACACUAAAAUAACAGAUAAUAUAAAAUAUUAG